rnacentral:lncRNA from 1 species
AAUGAGGCCGCAGAUGGAGUCAGAAUGUGAAAUUACAAAUAAUCACUGGAUCCAUCUACUGUUUUCCAUCACCUUCCCCACUGAUGCUCUGGGCGAGAGAGUGAUGUGUCACUUCAACUGUGUGUAAUAUGUCAGACACGUCCUACAAUAACAGGCGUCAUAUUUGUAUUAUUUUUAGUUUACUGUAGAAAAUAAUGUCACCGCCAAAGGUGAUGAGAGUCACGUUUUGUAGGAUCUGUUUUCUUAUACUUAAAGACAGACUUCUGCUACGGUAAUUGCCAGUAUUCAUGGCUUCCUUUCUGUGUCAGAAGAGAAGGGAUCUGCUUUCUCUUGGCUGAUUUCACAUAGCAUUGGUAAUAGACAUGCAUUUCUCUUUCUAAAGGGGAGUAACUUUUUAAACCCUUCCUGAUUUUAGCCUGGCAAUGUAAGUGUCCUUAAUGUGACUGUUUUGAUAAUUAAAAAAAGGUAUAUAAUUUA